rnacentral:lncRNA from 1 species
GGCCAGAGCCGCGGCAGAGGCAGAGGAGGGAGCUAGGAGGUGAGACCCGCUCCACCCUGCUCGCCUAGGCUCGGCGGAGGCUAAGAGCAGGGCAGCCUCCUCUGCCCGGCGCCCGCUGAGCCCCGGCAUCUGGAACUCAGGGCCCUGGCGCUCCAGGGGCGGGAACUGGCCGGGAGGACCGCGCGGGAGAGCACGGAUGGGCACCCUGGGCUCGAUAAUGUAAAAAGGGCAGCUCUCUGGCAUGUUCCUGACUGAGGAUCUCAUAACAUUUAACUUGAGGAACUUCCUCCUUUUCCAGCUUUGGGAGUCAAGCUUCUCACCUGGGGCGGGUGGGUUCUGCACCACCCUCCCACCCUCCUUCCUCCGUGUGGACGAUAGAGCCACAUCCAGCACCACGGACAGCUCCCGGGCGACCAAAAAGAAGAAUGUACUUCAUCUGGUUGGGCUGGAUUCCCUCUGAUAAGCCUUCCCAGUUGACUGAAAGAUGAGGCUAGGCUCUAGCAAGUUGAAGUCAAACCAGCUCCUUCAAGAAGCUUUGAGCAGAAUGAAGUGGGGAGGACCCAGCUUCCAGCCCAGGAAGCCCACUGUACCUGGAGCCAUCUGGGAUAAGACUUUGACCCAUGACUCCCAUAUCCACAGCCUGUCCAUCCUAGCCCAUCCCAGUUUAUCCUGUAUCAUUUGAGCUGGGAUUCCCACAUCCUCUGAGUUGGAAGUCCCAUCUCAAGUCUUCAAUAAAGACUCUUGAAUAUUGAAUCACA